AGCUAUACAUCAUCUAUGUUUUUGUUUUUAGCUGGAACAAGAACAGCCGAGUGAGAGAGAGAGAAAACCGUGAGAGAGAGAGAGAGAGAGAGAGGUCAAUUCUUUAAAACUUGCUGGAAAUUUUGAAGAAAAACUAAGGAAGCUAGGAGAAGUGAAGAAGUUGUCAAGAAAACACCAAAUUGAAGACUAAAGGUGGACGUUCGAGGCCUUAUAUCGACUUAACCCACUGUGAGCAAACUGAGCAAAAAAGAUAGAGAAAGUCUCGGAGUCUAACUGUGUCAGCCUUUAAAAAGCUUCACGAAUGGAGCAAGUUAGGCUCGAGUAAAGCAAAUAAAAUCAACCCCUUAGCUUUGUCAAAGUUUGGUAUUUUGUUGAGUUUUAAAUGUAUAUGUGUGUGAGAUAUAUAAGAUUUGUACAUGUAAACAAAUUAUUAUUGUAUCAUGUAGGGACAAGCUUAAUGGACAUUAUUGUUUUUGUUUUGCUUUUGCUUUAGGCCCCGAUAUGAUUUUAAAUAUUUUGAAAUUUUGUCUUUGAGGCCGAUGGUAAUCUAGGAUUACUGGAAGUUAUGACUCUAAAUCUAUAAGGGCGGGUUCAGGUCAUGACACUUGGAUUUUAUUUUAUUUUUGUGGAGAAUUUUAUC